rnacentral:rRNA from 1 species
GUUUUUUUGCAUAUCCAAAUAGCGGAGGAAAAGAAACUAACCAGGAUUCCCCCAGUAACGGCGAGUGAAGAGGGAAAAGCCCAAAUUUGUAAUCUGGCCCUUUCAGGGUCCGAGUUGUAAUUUUGAGAGCUGUUUUCUGUGCUGGACCAUUUCUAAGUCUGUUGAAAAAUAGCAUCAUUGAGGGUGAUAAUCCCGUUCAUGAUAUGGACUACCAGUGCAAUAUGAUACAGUUUCUAAGAGUCGAGUUGUUUGGGAAUGCAGCUCAAAGUGGGUGGUAAAUUCCAUCUAAGGCUAAAUAUAGGUGAGAGACCGAUAGCAUACAAGUACCGUGAGGGAAAGAUGAAAAGAACUUUGGAAAGAGAGUUAACAGUGCGUGAAAUUGUUGUGAGGGAAACAUUUGAAGUUAGCCUUGUGCUUGUUAGUUCAGCUCUCUCUAUAGGGUGUAUUCUAAUGAUGUCACGGACCAACAUCAGUUUUUGGGUGCUGGAUAAGGGUUUUGGAAAUGUGGCAGCUUAGGUUGUGUUAUAGUCCAGAACUUAGAUACAGUGCUUGGGACUGAGGCAUGCAGCAAGCCAGUAAAAUGGUGGUCUUUAUUAUUAAGGCUCAAUGCUGAGGAGUGUCAAGCUACAC